AGCCCGGGUUCUGGGUGGAUUCACGUGUAUUUUACCAGCCUAGCCCAUUACCCAGAAAUACUCGCUACAGCCCAUUUGGCAGCCCGGUAUAGAGGCGUGUAAGCCCGAGAAAACUCCCACAAACUCGUCGGGUCGACGGGUUUCCAAGACGCGAGCAGGGUGACGCGUUUCUUACACGCGCGUCGGCGGCGGCUGCAGCAAAACUACCGUCGCGGUGGAGCUUCACCGACGGCGCGGUCGAUCUUGCCGCCGUCAGAUUUCGCCGCCGCCAGAUCUCGCCACCGCGUCCUCCCGCCACCACCUCCUCGACACGAAGACCUCUUCAGUCGCCAGAUCCCGCCGCCUCCUCGCCGUCGCCCCCAACAGAACCUCCAACCACCGUAUCCUCUGCGCCGUCAGCUCGGCCACCAGCAGCUCCGUUGAACUGGCGUUCACUCCGGAACCCAAGCCUUAUUGGAUUUCAAUCGAAGAGGAGGAGGGUCCACCAAGCUGGGACCCUGUGCCUGACCCUUGGAGCUGUUUACCUCAUCCUGGCAAAGAAUGGAUCUACAGAGCAUAGAGCGUAUUAGAAAGAGGAAAGCCGAUGAUGAGGAUGAGUUGUUGUUCUUUAUUAUUCCAGCACUGUAUGUGCAUCUUAGUAAUAAAGUGGAAAAAACUAUACGCCAUCCCUCCUUCCUAUAUGGCAAGCGAAAAGUCACAGAAAUCCUUAGUGGCCAUAUUAAGGACUGUUUGGUGGCUUUUAGAAUGGAACCUCACAUCUUUAUAUGGCUGGCAAACUAUCUUAGAGAUGAAGGAUUGCUAUCAGAUACUAGGAUCAAGGUUGAAGAGAAGCUUGCCUUCUUUCUUUAUAUGAUCUCACAUAAUGCUUCUUAUGAAGACUUACAACUAAAGUUUAAGCAUAGUUGAAUAUGAUGAACAUCAGUGACAUAUUUUCCGUUUUAUGCCUCUGUUGUAAUCUGAUGAACGAUAUAGACACCGGUCGUAUACUGUAUGCACGUACACUAGUCGAUCUAAUGGUAGACUAAAGACAUCGGUCUG